GAUGAACGCUGGCGGCGUGCCUAAUACAUGCAAGUCGAGCGAACAGACGAGGCGCUUGCUCCUCUGACGUUAGCGGCGGACGGGUGAGUAACACGUGGAUAACCUACCUAUAAGAAUGGGAUAACUUCGGGAACCCGGAGCUAAUACCGGAUAAUAUAUUGAACCGCAUGGUUCAAUAGUGAAAGACGGUUUUGCUGUCACUUAUAGAUGGAUCCGCGCCGCAUUAGCUAGUUGGUAAGGUAACGGCUUACCAAGGCGACGAUGCGUAGCCGACCUGAGAGGGUGAUCGGCCACACUGGAACUGAGACACGGUCCAGACUCCUACGGGAGGCAGCAGUAGGGAAUCUUCCGCAAUGGGCGAAAGCCUGACGGAGCAACGCCGCGUGAGUGAUGAAGGUCUUCGGAUCGUAAAGCUCUGUUAGUAGGGAAGAACAAAUGUGUAUGUAACUAUGCACGUCUUGACGGUACCUAAUCAGAAAGCCACGGCUAACUACGUG
rnacentral:rRNA from 1 species